UCGCAGGUUGCAGCUUCCUGCUUCCCGGCGUUCUCCGUCCCCGCGCAAGCACAACCUAGUAAAGCUUCAGGUAAUUCCUGUACCUAAUUAGUUAAUUACUAUGGUGGCAAAGUUGCAAUGAGCCAAUGAAUGGGAUCUUUUUUUUUGUUGCUGCGAAUAGGUUUCUGAACAAUGGCAAUUCCAUCGAUAUCAUGUCUUAUACGUAGGUUUCAUAAAUUGAUGUUGCCUAUUUUGCUUGACUUUUACAGAUUUGAAGGAACUUACAAUGCUGCUGAGAACUGUAAAGCUGCUUGGGCUGUGGUAGUUAGUGCUAAGCUGCGAUCUUGUGAAGUUGGCAACUGGUAUUGUGGCAAUGCUCGUGCCCCAUGGCCAUUGGAGGUUGUGACGAACUGACGCUGUGUUCUUCUAUUCUCUCUGUGAUUCCUGUUAUCUGAACACUCAUGGUGAGACAUAUUAUGUUAUGUUCUGUAGCAUAAUAUGGAAUGCUAUACUGCUAGUGCUACGGUCCAAAGAUGACUUGUCUUUGACAUCAUAAGGUUUGCUCCCAGCAUCUAAUUAGUUUGUGAAGUUUAUCCAUCCAUGUCUUCACUAACCUCUAAUUUUCUAGUGCUAAUUAAUUGUCAUGGCUAGUCUAAUGCAAGUCCUGUUGUGACAAAUGUAUGGAAUAGAAGUUCAGAACCUUC
rnacentral:lncRNA from 1 species